rnacentral:rRNA from 1 species
UACGUAGGGAGCAAGCGUUGUCCGGAAUCAUCGGGCGUAAAGCGCGCGUAGGUGGCUCCGUAAGUCCGUUGUGAAAGUCAAAGGCUCAACCUUUGAAAGCCGAUGGAUACUGUGGAGCUAGAGUACGGAAGAGGCGAGUGGAAUUCCUGGUGUAGCGGUGGAAUGCGCAGAUAUCAGGAGGAACACCAAUAGCGAAGGCAGCUCGCUGGGACGUUACUGACACUGAGGCGCGAAAGCGUGGGGAGCGAACAGG